UACGAAGGGUGCUAGCGUUAUUCGGAAUCACUGGGCGUAAAGAGCGUGUAGGUGGUUUGUUAAGUCAACUGUUAAAGCACCAAGCUUAACUUGGUAAAGGCAGGUGAAACUGGCAAGCUAGAGUGCAAGAGAGAGAAGUGGAAUUGUCGGAGUAGCGGUAAAAUGCGUAGAUCUCGACAGGAACACCGGUUGCGAAGGCGGCUUCUUGGCUUGUAACUGACACUAAAGCGCGAAAGCGUGGGGAGCAAACAGG
rnacentral:rRNA from 1 species